UGUUGUUCUAUGGGCCAUUAGGGAAAUGCCCUAUUUGCCAUGAAAAUAGUUUGGAGUUCACCGGAUAUUAUUGUGAUUUCGACCCUCCUUAUGUGGAAGAUCAAGGGUUCAUCGCUCGUUUUUGGUCAAAUUUCUUUCAACUACAUAUAUACAAUCCAAGGUUUGCUCGAAGACUGGGAAUAACACCAAAUAUAUAUCAAGACGAGGUGGAGAUUAAUAGCAGGAGGAUGAACAAGAGAACUUUCUGGAUCUAUGUAUACGUAGUGGUUUUUGUGCUAAUCUGUUUUUGUUUCUUUAUGGUCAAACUUUGGUCCAAUCUGUCCACAC